GAAUUCUCACGUUAAAUCAUCGGAUCAGGGCGCAAGGAGCAUAACCUAAAAGACUAAAACCCAGGGUUUAAGCUAAGACCAGAAGAAUGUGCUUUCACGAGCUGAUUUGAUCUUUCUUGUCGCGGUGGAGUGGUAAAGGCCAUGGCGAUCAGAUUUUUAAUUUCAAGAGCUUCACGUGAAAAUCUCUCUUGGUUUCUCCCUUCCAGAUGUUCCCCGGCCCUUUUUCAUUUCCUCAGAAGUUUCCUCUCAAUUUCUCCAGAAUCGCAUUCCCGGUGUUCACUUCUCCCCAGAAAUUUCCGAUGCUUUUCCUCUGAACUAAAUCUCAAUCUUGAUGAAGCUGGCGCAAGUUCUCUUGCUGUCGAUAAUCGCGUCCCUGCCACCGUCAUCACUGGCUUUCUCGGGUCAGGAAAGACCACACUUCUUAAUCACAUUUUAACAUCGCAGCAUGGCAAGCGGAUUGCAGUUAUAGAAAAUGAGUUUGGUGAGGUAGAUAUUGAUGGAUCAUUGGUUGCUAGUCAUUCCUCUGUUUCUGAGGACAUUGUCAUGGUUAACAAUGGCUGCCUAUGUUGUACCGUGCGUGGAGAUCUAGUUAAAAUGCUAUUGGAGUUAGUUAAGAAAAGAAAAGAUAAAUUUGAUCACAUUGUCAUAGAAACCACAGGGAAAUUUCUGUUUGCUGGUGACGCAUCUGUGGUUGCAUUCUAGGGUCUCUUCGUAACUUCCAACUUGAUUCAAAGAAGGAACCUUGACUUCAAGCCAAAAAAAGCUUUUUGCAUUGAUGACCUGGUUCAAACUUGUCAUUGCAAUUAAAAUUGUCCCUAUGCACACCUCUGUUCCAUUUCUGCCGCCGACAGGUGCCAUACAACUGGGUGCGAGACAGAGGAACAAAAGGGAGUGUUGGGGGUCCUGGGACUCGAAACUUUCACGAUUGACGGUGUUUUCAUGGAUGAGCGGUGGGGAAUGCUGUUGUGAGGUCAUGUGGAUUUUGAAGUUACACUUCAAUGGCUAUAUGUUCCUUUAGGCCAUUGACAGAAAUUUGCACUUCCUGUUCAGAAGUAAGUGCACUCACCUAGGCAGAAAGAAAUUCGAACUGCUGUUAAUAUCUAGCGAUUGUUCUGCGCUGAUGAAGUUUGCUGAGUUUGCCAACGUGUUGCUCUGAAUUGGGAGACCAAAUUGCAGAUGAUAGAAUUGUUUAAAUCCCUCCCAAGUUAGUGUUAGAAAAAUGCUCACAUCGUUCGAUCCAUGGAAGAGGAUCUAAAGAGCCAUCAUAACAAGGAAAA